GUGUUUAUGAGGGUGCGGUUAGUGUACUGUGUGUGUGUGAGUGAGCUGUAUGUGUGUAGGUGCUGUAUGUGUGUGUGCUGUAUGUUUGGAGGGAUUUGGCAGAUAAGUAAAUCCUUGCUGCCAUGUGCCAUCCCUGGUGGUCCAGUGGAGAGUGAACUCUAGCCUGCGGGGCUAGAGUUAACUCUCGCGAGAUCUGAGCAUUGCCGCAGCAACACUCAGAUAUUGCGAGAGGAACCUGGCGGAGCUUCUGUCUAGAGCUCCCUGGGUCCUCUCCUGCCUCC